rnacentral:rRNA from 1 species
GAUUAACGCGAAGAACCUUACCUGGGCUCGAACGGCUUUGGCAACCUGGUGGAAACAUCGGGCCUCCCGCAAGGGACCGGAGUCGAGGUGCUGCAUGGCUGUCGUCAGCUCGUGUCGUGAGGUGUUGGGUUAAGUCCCGCAACGAGCGCAACCCUUGUCCUGUUUUGGCAUGCCGCAAGGCGCAACUAUCAGGAGACCGCCAGCGAUAAGUUGGAGGAAGGUGGGGAUGACGUCAAGUCAUCAUGGCCUUUAUGUCCAGGGCUACACACGUGCUACAAUGGGCGGUACAAUGCGCAGCGAACCCGCGAGGGGAAGCUAAUCGCAAAAAACCGUCCUCAGUUCGGAUCGCAGGCUGCAACCCGCCUGCGUGAAGCUGGAAUCGCUAGUAAUGGCAUAUCAGAACGAUGCCGUGAAUACGUUCCCGGGCCUUGUACACACCGAAUCACUAGU